GCAUCAGACUUUUAAUCUGAGGGUCGUGGGUUCGAGUCCCACAGAAGGCG
rnacentral:tRNA from 1 species